UCUGUGGUGAAGAGUAAUAAAAAACAAAACCAAUAUCAACAGGAUCCUCCAACAAAGCCCAUUCAUGCAGUAGCUGAGCAAACUGCUGAACAGAAACAGGUUAAUCCGGGAAGUGCUAGUACAUACCAUAUAUAAUUGAUAAGGAAAUCUAUUAAGUGACUAUAGGCAAUUGUUAAGAGGGGGACUCGUAAGCUAUCCAUGGCUUGAGCUAUAUAUUUCAUAGUGUUAUAAUGCGAUGUAUUAUAAUAUAUUUGUAUCUUAUAAAGCGUAUAUGUAAAUAAAUCAUGCUUAAUCUUACUCAUCUAUGACAAGCAUGGUUCAAUCUUAAAGGGAUAUCCUUUAAGAAAGUGAUGUAUUUAUGAAUGUUAUAUAUGAAUGGAAUUUUAAGCUAAUUAACAUACAUAGUUCGAAAUAGAUUCUUUUUUAUUACGCACUGUAAUUCUGCUAUUAUAAAGUAUAGCUACUUAAGAAAGACCAAUUGCAGAUGUUGUAAUUACUUUUGCUAAUUGUUAACUGAAACCUCGAGGAGGGGAAAAAAAUUGAGAGAGAAUUUCAAAGAGCAAAUUAAAAGUAAUGCUCUGGUUUUUGAACCUCAAAGAACUGAAUGGUACAAAGUCUUUAGAUGGCGAUCACGUUCCAUAUUGUAAGCUUGGACAUAUAGAUUAAAAAUUAAUUAAUGCUAAUGUUUCAAGUAUUUUUUCAACAAUCAAAUGAUAAUAAAAAAAUAAAGAGUUUAUCUACAUGAGGUAGACAAAGCUUUACAGCACUAUGUAUUGAUUUUUAUUAAAAAGACAGGAAGUCAGAUAAAGAAAUAAUAACAAUUAAAAUUUACGCUUCAAAAGAUCAAUUUAUUAACAAUGCAAAAAAUAAUUAUCUGAUAUAAAUAAAGUGUUUUUUUUUUUUUUUUUUUUGUUGUUGUUGUUGUUGUUGUCCGGUUCAAAAAAGAUGAUUCUAAUGGAUGGUUGGACCCGAGCAUCUAGGAACAUAGGCCUCGUUUGGGAAACAACCCGGAAUUAUUGAAAAUUUUACUGUGCUUUGGUAACAAAUGUUGUAAUUUCAUAUAACAAUGGCUAUUAUGUCGUGAUUUUGCUGGUUUAUACUUUAUAUUACACAUUUUAAUAAAUACGAAGGACCCAAAAGAUUGCUUUGGAGUUUCAUGUUGAUUUGGGGAAAAUGUUUUAUUAUGUUGCCAUUCAUUCAUAACUUUUAUAUGGACUUUUUGGGUUCUGAUAAAUGCUAAAAAUUAGUAAAUUUCUUUAAUCAAGUUAGGCUCACAGUUUUGAUGAAUUUCGAAUAAAAAGUUUGUAAAUCACUUCCUUCUAACUUCUAAGUCAGAGAGUCAGUCUUUAAAUUAUUUUUUUUUUCUCACUUCUCACAAAAUUCUACCCAAUUGAUAGAUUGUGAUGCUAAAAUUUGAGCAUAUUCUUGCUUGGAAUAUUUUCAAGUUUUUUUGCUCUUUAUCUCCAAAAUGACCUGUUUUGAGGCCCCUACAGAUCCUUUCGGAUUUAUUAUGGCUGGCUCAAUUCUAUUCAUUUGAGGGCUGUUUAAAAUAUCUUGUACAUUUUAUCCAGAAAUAUCUAAUUUUUAAAUUAAAAAACAAACUAGAUAACACAUAAGUAGGAGGAUAUGUAUGAAUCGCAUAUGUUUGGUUUGGGCAAGUGAUUCGUAUAUUAACAUAAAGCUUUAUUCUAGUGCAGGAGAUAAAAAUGGAGAGAACAAUUCCAAAGUGACUGGAAGAGAAUCGAAAUAUAUACAAGGGGAGGCCCUCUAGAGCUCUUUGCAGCAGCAACAUAUCAAUAUAAGUUUGCAGAAGAGAGAGAAGUACAUAGUAGCAGCCAUGGCACAAGAGUACCUGAAGGAGUACGUGCGUUUAACAAGCAACGAUGAUCUUCAUUCACCGCCAACUGUAGUGAAGAGUUAUCAAAAUCAAAACCAAUAUCAGCGGCUACCUCCAACAAAGCUCAAUCACGCAGUUGCUGAACCACCUGCUGAACAUAAACAGUUCUCAAGGUGGUGCGGUCGCGAAGAUGAAAUUUGCCCCAACAGGAGAAAACCUAAGCGUUGAAUAAGGGUUAAUCCUGGGAAGUGCAAUUACGUACUGUUUAUAAUUAAUAAGGAAAUCUAUGUAGAGGGGGAAUCCUUGGCGAUCGAUGACUUCAGCUAUAUAUUUCAUAGUGUUAGAAUGUGAUAUAUAUUUGUAUAUUAUAAAAGUGUAGAUGUAAAAAAUAUCAUGCUUAAUCUUACUCAUCUAUGACAAGCAUGGUUCAAUCUUAAAGGGAUAUCCUUCAAGAAAGUCAUGUAUUUAUGAAUUAUAUAUAUGAAUAGAAUUUUAAGCUAAAUAACAUAUAUCGUUCGAAACAAA